rnacentral:misc_RNA from 1 species
AUGAUGUUCAACGGAUGUGCUGGCGGCUUAACCCCCGCAUGUGCACUCCUUAACACAAUUACACACCUGUGAACCUCGAACCGUGUCUGUGUGCUGAUCCCGUAGGGAGAUGUGUGCGCGCGCGUUCUUAUUUUACAAAACCCUGUUAACUAAAGCUCUAGAAAGUGUUGGUUAAUAUAAAA